AUCCAGUGUAUGGCAAGAGAGCUUUUAAAGGCCAUUAUAAUAUGGAUCAAAAACCAUGUUUUGCUUUUCAGUAGAGAUGUUAAAUUCAGAUGUAAUAUUGCAAUCUCUUCCGUCCACACCCAAUUCAAUCCUAGCAAUUUAUUAAUAUAUUCAAUAAGUGUUUUUUCCACCCAGAUUUAAUUAAAGGGCAUUCCCACCAUAUAUGUAGUUCAUCGGCUAUGUCAACG